AUGUGCCCACCUCCCACGCCCGCCGGGCACCCGUGCCGGGGUCGUCGGGGGAGCCCCCAGCACCCGGCAUGGCAGCACCGGCUGGGGGCAGGACCCGCCGCCCCUCACCCAGCCGGUCGCAGCGUGUGCUGGUGCCCGGCCGGUGCCAGGGUCCCCGCGGUGUCGGGGCAGGCGGCUGCACCCUGCGGCCUCCCAGCGCUCCCGGGCGGCAGUGCCGCCUGGGUCCCCUCCCGGUAUGGCCCAGCGGUCACGGUUCCUACCUGUGCCGGCUGGCAGCCCGGGCACCGCUGUGGGCCGUGGCAGGGCCCUGCGGGGCCGUGGCCUGAACGGCGCUGUGCGGGGCAGCCCCCCCGGUGUAGAGGCUGUACCUGGGGGGGAAGUUGGCGGCCAGGGCCUGGGCGGCCAGGAGGCACGGCCAGAGCCAGGGGGCCAUGCUGGGCAGGCGGCUCAGCACGGCACGGCACCGCACGGCUCGGUGUGGCACAGUUCGGCUCGGCACGGCGUGGCUCGAUGGGCACGGCCCAGCUCAGGAGCGCAUGGCGCGUCCCGUCGCGGCUCCGUCCCUCCCGGCUCUGCGCCGCACGGCUCGGCUCGGCACGGCGGCUCUGCCCUCCCCUCGGCCGCGCCUCGGCCAGCCCCUCGCCGCCAGAGCCGCCCCGGCGCUGCCCGCCGACGGGGUCCCCGGGGCCCCCCGCUUCCUGCCCGCCGCGGCCCCCUUCCCCGGCCCGCGCAGCCCCCGGCGCGCCCCGGCCUCCACCGGGCACCGCGGCCCCCGCCGGCCCCCGCCCCCGCCGCCCGCACAUCUGCUUCUCGUUAGGCCGGGACGCCAGCGAGGACGGGAAGGAGGGAUGGGGGAAGCCAGAGAGGCCGGGCAGGGGGCCAGGGCUGCAGGCGGCCAGCGCGGCCGGUGCUACCGCAACGGGUGGCCCCCCCCGCUCCGCACCGCCGCGGCCUCGCACGGUCGCCUGCGCCUUGCGCGGCCACCGUUUCGCGUGGCGCCCCGCUCCUCGUACAGCUGCGGUCCCGCACGGCGCACGGUUCCUCACGUGGCUCCCCGCGUCUUUGCGCGGCCGUGGCCGCCUGCGGUGCCACGUCCCGGUGCCGGGGUGCCGUGUCCCUGUGGUGGUGCUGGCACCCUGA
rnacentral:lncRNA from 1 species